GUUUUGGCAGCACAUAAUAUAAAAUUGGAAUGAUACAGAGAUACAGAGACCAGCAUGGCCUCUGCACAAGGAUGACACACAAAUUUGUGAAGCGUUCCAUAUUUUU